GGUUCCUUGGGGUGGAUGGAUCACAACUUAUUCAGCCAUUCCCCUAUUACUGGCAUUCACCCUGCUUCUGGUUUUUUGUGACUAUGAAUGGGGCUGCAGUAAACAUCUUUGAGUGGAUAUGCUCACUUAUGGGUGCUUUCAUUUUGAUGGGAUAGGUUCCCAGGAAGAAUACUGCUGAGUCAAGGAGUAUGUUCAAUUUAUUUUUAUUUUUAUGGAUGCUGUCAGAUUGCUUCCUGAAAAAGGCCAUAAUAAUUCAUAGUUCCACCAGCAAUGUAUGAGAAUUUCCCCAUAGCAACAUUAGCAAUAGGUAUUAUAGCUCUUUUCAAUUUUUAAAGGUCUGAAGAGUAGAAACAUAGCCCUGACCACUCAUGAAUUCAAAUGACGUAUGAUUUUAUCGAACCCUUGGAUUUUACUUCUAUGAAUUACAGCUUAUUCCUUGAUUCAUUGUUUCAUUUUUUAUGUCAAUUUUGGGCACCAUUCCCCAAAAUUUCAACCCAGCUCCCAUCGCCUGAAAUGGCAGACACUGUAUUUUCAAUACUAACAGUAGAAAUGAAAAAGAGAGAGAGAGAGAGAGAGAGAGAGAGAGAGAGAAAAGACUUAAUCCUUAAUUCUGUCCUCUAUUAAUUUCUGUAACACUUCAUCCAUGCCUUCUGGUUUUAGGGCUUAUUUAUGAGUUGCCUUGCUAACUCUUGUCUAAUAGGUGUUACACUUACCUCACCGCAGACUGUAAAUCCUCUGAGAGCUGGGGAUUACGUUGUAUACUUUUAAAGGCUUCCCUGGCUCAGCUCAAGCCCCAACUUUAGAGCAAUCUUCUCUGAUGCUUCCAGUCUACACCAUCCUUGUGUCUAAUAUUCGUAACGUCUGUAUUACAGUUAACGUAUCCGGAUGUUCUUGGCACCCACUUUCUACACCCAGUUGAUGUUUUAUUAUGACAGUAAAUUACUAUGUUAAUGAAAUGACAGAGCAAUAACAAUCCCUGUGAGAUGCUGUGGGAAGCAGAUACUCUCAUUUCUUUAAUGCUACUCCUGGUCUCAGCUCCCUUCCUCCUUGCCCACCUUCAUUCUAGAGGUGAGAGAAGCUCUGUGGUUAAUUGUUCUUUGAAGAAGCUUGGUGAGGACUUCUAGAAAGGCUCUUACUCUUCCCUAGUAGUGGGGACAAAUGUGGCUGGCAACACCUCUUCUUUCCUCUUCUUCCUGCCUAGACUGUGGAUUCUGGAUGCAAUACCUGGUAUUAGGGUAGCUACCUUGGGACUCUGAGAGGGGGAGGCAAAAGGAAUGGCAGGGUUGCUGUCCCUAACUUCACUGAGGUGCCAAACCAAUACCGACAGCCCCAUGCCUCCCGACUUCCUAGUGAGUGACCUCAAGCCCAUGACAAAAUGCUGAGGCUUUAUUCAGUGUGUUGGGUGGCCAUAUGGGGAGUGAGGUUAUUUCGCCUGCCUUUAAUGAAGACAAGUGGUAGCCAUAUAAAGGAGUAUGGAAGUGCUAGAGGUAGGAAAACAAGAACCUAUUCCUUUCAUUGAUGUAAAGGCAGAAGUAGACACCAUUUGGAGGUUUUAUCAGGUACACAGGUGGGUGGUGUUACCAUGGCAGGGUGACUUCCAGGAGGUCAGAGAUUUCAGGAUGGGAUGCAGGCUGUAUAAAAGUAGAAGUGGACUGAAAGGCUCAUCAGAGUGCCUCUAGUAAUAUGAAUCCGCUGCAACCACGCUCAGUCUCAUGUCACUCAUGCAAUUUUCAAACCUUAGAUGAGAGCAUCAAAUUGGUGUGGCUUGGACAACGUGCCCACCUUGACCAAGGAUGAGUAGGCAUCUGGAAUCACGAUCCCACUAAGACUGUGUGCAAUGGAAGGAAGGAUAGUAACGUAAAGGAAAAGCAGGGCACUAUUAGAAGGAGGAAUAAUGGAGUUUGGGAAAAAGCUAUUCAUGUCCAUUAUACCUAAUCGUAUAAUAAUUCAAAAGGCUGAUGGAAAGAUAGUGCCAUGUGCAACAAGAAAUUGAGUGAAGAUUGGAUUUCUGUCUCCCUUGUCUAGAGACCCCUAAGGUUGUACCUUUCUUUUGGUUUACAGCUCCCAAAAAGAAACCGAACUCCCACCUUCCUUCUCAAGAGCAAAUCUUACAGGGCGUUAGCAGCAGCCCAAAAUGACUAUGGGAAUAAUGAAUGGCAGCAGCGGAAAGGCGAAAGUUUUACUCCCCCCACCCCCCGAAAGUUUUACUUAAAGUGAGAAAAAAAAUAAAAUGUCUGUGCUUUGUAAAAACUGACCCUAUGAGGAGAUGGCUGGAUGUGUGGCACUUUGAAUGACAAAGGAAUGGUUUCAGGGGGUGGAGGGACAGAUCAGCCUUCCCUAGAUACUUUUCCCAGCUUCUCAACUACAAAACCAGAAGCAGAAGCUCCAGAUCAGAUGGCUCAAGGCUCAUUUACCACUAGUAGGAAUAUUCUAGUUUACUCUAGAAUAACGCAAAGUCUUUCCCUCUCCCCCUCCCACUGCCCCAUUAACAUUAUUCAAACAAGAGCUUAAAGGAAAGAGUAAACAAAUCAGAGCUGCUCCAUGUGAAAUCAAAUUCGAGGGCUCUGAAUAUUGCCCCUGUCCCCCUUGUUCCGCCUGUAGUUUUUGCCACACACCACCCAAAACUAAUGACUUCAGAC
rnacentral:lncRNA from 1 species